AGGUGGUGCGAUGGUUGUCGUCAGCUCGUGUCGUGAGAUGUUGGUUAAGUCCCGCAACGAGCGCAACCCUCGCCUCUAGUUGCCAGCAUUCGGUUGGGCACUCUAGAGGGACUGCCGGCGACAAGUCGGAGGAAGGUGGGGAUGACGUCAAAUCAUCAUGCCCCUUAUGACCUGGGCUACACACGUGCUACAAUGGGCGGUACAAAGGGCUGCGAACCCGCGAGGGGGAGCGAAUCCCAAAAAGCCGCUCUCAGUUCGGAUUGCAGGCUGCAACUCGCCUGCAUGAAGCCGGAAUCGCUAGUAAUCGCGGAUCAGCAUGCCGCGGUGAAUACGUUCCCGGGCCUU
rnacentral:rRNA from 1 species